GGGUUUACCCAUUGGUCAGGUUUAAUUAUCUGUACUGGUGAGAUAAAUCUCUACCUUCUGAGGAACUUUCAUGCCAUUUAUUUGGUGUGGGAGGAAAUCAGGACUGUUACUUUGAAAAAAUUAGAGUGUUUAAAGCAGGCUAACGUCUGAAUACAUUAGCAUGGAAUAAUGAAAUAGGACGGACUGAUUCUAUUUCGUUGGUUUCUAGGAUCACCGUA
rnacentral:rRNA from 1 species